rnacentral:rRNA from 1 species
CAAUAGCGUAUAUUUAAGUUGCUGCAGUUAAAAAGCUCGUAGUUGGAUUUCGGGUGGGAAUGGCCGGUCCGCCGUUUCGGUGUGCACUUGCUACGCCCACCUUGCUGCCGGGGACGUGCUCUUGAGUCCACGCUCGGGACACGGAGUCGGCGAGGUUACUUUGAGUAAAUUAGAGUGUUCAAAGCAGGCCUACGCUCUGAAUACAUUAGCAUGGAAUAACACGAUAGGACUCUGGCCUAUCUUGUUGGUCUGUAGGACCGGAGUAAUGAUUAAGAGGGACAGUCGGGGGCAUUCGUAUUUCAUUGUCAGAGGUGAAAUUCUUGGAUUUAUGAAAGACGAACUACUGCGAAAGCAUUUGCCAAGGAUGUUUUCAUUAA